UUUUAACUUCUGCCCUCUAGAACCGUAAGGUAAUAAAUUUGUGUUGUUUUCAGCCACCAAGUGUGUUACAAACUGUUGCAACCACAACAGGAAACCAAGACAGCCUCUCUCAUAAAGGCAAGCGGUAGCAGAAGGGCUAAAGGUCGCAAAUCUAGUGUGGUUUUGUGGAAUGUUUGUCAAAUAUUAUGUCUCACCUUUGGUCUUCAGACAAAACUCUUCAAUAACAGGAAAAGCCUCAUUGGAUUCUGUUUUAUUAGGCAGAAGGAGGUUCUUGGAAGGACAGCAUUAAGAAGUUCAUAGAAUUAAUGAACCACUAUAAAACCAGGCCGGGUUACAGAGAGAACUAAGAAAGCUGCAGAGCUCAAAAAAACAGGAAGAUUGUGCUCACAGAGAGCCCACUUAGGUGAAUGUAUCCCACCUUCUAAAUCUACCCAACUGGAGGGCAGGGAUGCAAGUCUUCUGUUAUCCACGGUGGGAGCCAGGCACCUGGAUUCACUAUCACACCAAGACCUGAUGGAAGGAAGGCAUGGGGAUGGAUGCUGAGUGCCCAAACACUGGUGAGGAGAUCUGAAGAGACUACGGAGGUAAAAGGGACAGAAGACCAAGAAGGUAAGCAGUGGAGAGAAGGGAGCAGGAGAAAGGCAGUGAAAGAGGGACAAAUAGGAGCCUAGGGAGAAUGCUGAACACGAGCUCCCCACCUCUCCUGCUUGCUCAGGGCUAGUCUCAGGAGACCUCAACCCCUGCAGUUUGGCUUUGCAAUAAUUCAACUCAAUUACAUAGAUUUAUAUCCAGAAAAAAAAACAGAAGUAGACUCUUUUUAUUAAUUAUAUUAAUGCAAUGAGAAUAUAUGUGGCUUAUUUCUCUCUUCAGUAGGACUAUUACUUUUUUGCUGUCUUUUGCAAAUCUCCACUCCUAGUCCUUUGAAUCGCCAUCUAGAGAAAGGGAAUGCUGUAUUUUAACAUUGCUGAAGGCACAGUUUGACCUUUAAAUCACAUUAUUUAAAUAUUAAUGACAUAGCAGGAAAGCAGCCUACUGACAGGUGUUAUACAAGUCAGACCAAAUAGGACACUAAAUCUGUGAGUGCCUUUGAAACGCCCAUUAGAGAUAAUGAGGAAUAGACAUGUAUUUCCACACAUUGUCCAGCACUAGUUUGUUCCACCUCCAGUCAGAAUAAAUUAACUGAACAUGGUGUUUGACAGGAAAGAAAUCACUAUUCUUCCUUCAAAAUGCUGCUUAAUGACUUCUGCAGCUCCACGUGAUAAUAACAGGAAAGGAUCUGUUUGUUUCUCAGACUUUGAAGCGAUGACACAUUGCUUGCUAGGGCUGGAUUUCACACUGAAGAAUGACAGCAGAAGCCUUGCCUCACAAAAGGCACCAAACAGACCUUCCUACCUGCCCACGUUUUCCGUCUCGCUUGACAGCACCAGGUACUCCCGAGUCACGGUAUAUGUUUCUUGGAUACUUUAGUUGGAAACUGAGACAUCACAGGCUGCUAGGACUUAUCCUUCCUAAGACACCCAUUGAAUUAGGACAUCUCAGCUCUCAUUCCAAAUACCCCAGGCCAAGGUUUUCUCAACCUCAGCACAACCAACAUUUGGAGUUGGAUAGUUCCAGCUGUAACAACCAAAACUGUCUCCAGACAUUGCUAAUGUCUCCUGAGGUGAGGGCAAAAUGGCCCCCAGUUGAGAACCUCUGGCUUAGGCAAAUUUAUUAAUUAUAUACCUCAGUGAUAUGGUGGGGCGUGCAACAAUUUACCUCUAACCUUUCAGGGUUUUUCAGCUGGGCCUGAAAAUAAAAUUGACGUAAGACAGAUCAACAGGGAAAAAGCAUGCAAAUUUAUUUAAUACAAGCUUUAUAUUGCACAGGAACCUUUGUGUGAAGACACGAAGUUGCAGUAAGAGACAAACGUACACCAAAAUAAACAGAGUAGCAAAUUAUAAAACUGUGACAAUGCAAAGGGCUUGGGCUUGGGCUGGAGUAGUCAGUUGGGUAGAGCAGUGGCUAGGAGGAUAAAAUUAGCCAAAAACGGUUUGCUCAGAUUUCCCUCAGCCUCAACUUCUCAUCCUUGAUGGUAAGAAUGAUGCUUUCAUUCUAACAUAGGGAGGACAUCUUUCGCCUGGGAGUUUCAUCUCCUGCUUUUAAGAAACAGAAGGAUGGUCAGAGUGAUCUCGCACCUGUUGUUUUUCAAACGCCUUUGACUCAAAAUAAUCAAUUUGCCAGAGUGGCAUAUUUUUAACCUCUUCAGUAUCCUUAUGUGGCUUCACAGCUGUUCAAAGUUGUUAUUUCAUAACCCAACAGGCUGGACAAUUCACCUGCUGAUUAAAGUUAACAUAUUCUUCAUGGCACUCUGGGUCAUAAAAGGGAAUUAAAGUUGUGAUGGGAUGCAUGAGACCAGGAGGAUGACUCUGAUUCAGUCCCCUAAGAUGGAACUAAGAGAAGCAGUCCAUAAGUCUUGGGGGAAUUCUCUCUCUACCAUUGUGUAUCUGACGUAUUGUUUUAACAGCCAUGUAAAAUUGGAUCUGACUCUACUUACUCCAGAAAUAAUAUUUGUUGAUCACAGGGCACUACACAAUGAUUCAUGGUACAGACAAUCUGGUUGUCAUAUUUUCAUGUUUGCCAGACACUGUUGCUUCAAACCACUUGUACCCUUGAUAAAUGAAAGUGUGUGUGAAUCUCCCAAAAGUAUGUUAAAUAAACAC
rnacentral:lncRNA from 1 species